rnacentral:RNase_P_RNA from 1 species
GGCGCAGGCCGGAUGGUCGCCCGCCACAAGUUAUUGGCGGGAGGAAAGUCCGGGCUCCAAAGGGCAGCGUAGCGGGUAACGCCCGUCCGAAGAAUGUUUAAUUCUUUGAGGAUAAGAGCUACAGAGACGAGUUUGGGAAGCGUAGUAGUAACAUAAUAAGCUUAAGCGUAUGUUACUGCUUCUCAAGGUGAAACGAGCAAUCUCUACGCGGAGCAAAACCAAAUAGGUCUCGCUAAGAAGAACGGCCCGUUCGUAAUAGCGAGACGGGUAGGUUGCAAGAUCUUGGCAGCAAUGCCAAGGCUAGAUAGAUAGCUAUCAUCCGCCUUGGGCGGAACAGAACCCGGCUUAUAGGCCUACGCCAUAU